rnacentral:rRNA from 1 species
UACGUAUGGUGCAAGCGUUAUCCGGAUUUACUGGGUGUAAAGGGAGCGUAGGCGGCGCGUUAAGUCUGAUGUGAAAACCCGAGGCUCAACCACGGGAGUGCAUUGGAAACUGGCGGGCUGGAGUGCCGGAGAGGUAAGCGGAAUUCCUAGUGUAGCGGUGAAAUGCGUAAAUAUUAGGAGGAACACCAGUGGCGAAGGCGGCUUACUGGACGGCAACUGACGCUGAGGCUCGAAAGCGUGGGGAGCAAACAGG